rfam:Tupaia chinensis contig111718, whole genome shotgun sequence.
AAUGUUUCUUGGCUUUUUAGCUAUAAUUAAGUGUAGUAUCAGUUCCUAUCAGUUUAAAGCCUGAUAUGUUGUCUUUCACUCGAAGACAAUAUACUAAGUGGAUUUUUGGAGCAGGGGGAUAGCGUAGAUGCUUCCUCCAUCUCCACACAUCACCUUGGUAUUGCAGUACCUCCAGGAAUGGUGUGCUAAAA